AUUGAACGCUGGCGGCAGGCUUAACACAUGCAAGUCGAGCGAGCGGCGGACGGGUGAGUAAUGUCUGGGAAACUGCCUGAGGGAGGGGGAUAACUACUGGAAACGGUAGCUAAUACCGCAUACCAUCAGAUGUGCCCAGAUGGGAUUAGCUAGUAGGUGGGGUAAUGGCUCACCUAGGCGACGAUCCCUAGCUGGUAUGAGAGGAUGAACAGCCACACGGGAACUGGGACACGGUCCAGACUUCUACGUGAGGCAGAAGUGGGGAAUAUUGCACAAUGGGCGCAAGCCUGAUGCAGCCAUGCCGCGUGUGUGAAGAAGGCCUUCGGGUUGUAAAGCACUGUCAGCGAGGAGGCGUUACUCGCAGAAGAAGCACCGGCUAACUCCGUGCCAGCAGCCGCGGUAAUUC
rnacentral:rRNA from 1 species